rnacentral:rRNA from 1 species
GAACUUAAGCCCCAGUAAACGGCGGCCGUAACUAUAACGGUCCUAAGGUAGCGAAAUUCCUUGUCGGGUAAGUUCCGACCCGCACGAAAGGCGUAACGAUUUGGGCACUGUCUCAACAACAGACUCGGUGAAAUUGUAAUUCCGGUGAAGAUGCCGGAUACCUGCGACAGGACGGAAAGACCCCAUGGAGCUUUACUGUAGCUUGACAUUGGGUCUUGGUACUACAUGUACAGGAUAGGUGGGAGGCUUUGAAACCAGGACGCCAGUUUUGGCGGAGCCAUCCUUGGGAUACCACCCUUGUAGUACUGGGACUCUAACCAUAGGCCAUGAAUCUGGUCUUGGGACACUGUCAGGUGGGCAGUUUGACUGGGGCGGUCGCCUCCCAAAAGGUAACGGAGGCGCUCAAAGGUUCUCUCAGUACGGUCGGAAAUCGUACGUAGAGUGUAAAGGCAAAAGAGAGCUUGAUUGCAAGACAUACAGGUCGAGCAAGGAUGAAAAUCGGACUUAGUGAUCCGGUGGUUCUGCGUGGAAGGGCCAUCGCUCAACGGAUAAAAGCUACCCUGGGGAUAACAGGCUUAUCUCCCCCAAGAGUCCACAUCGACGGGGAGGUUUGGCACCUCGAUGUCGGCUCAUCACAUCCUGGGGCUGUAGUAGGUCCCAAGGGUUGGGCUGUUCGCCCAUUAAAGUGGUACGCGAGCUGGGUUCAGAACGUCGUGAGACAGUUCGGUCCCUAUCCGUCGCAGGCGUAGGAAAUUUGAGAAGACCUGUCCUUAGUACGAGAGGACCGGGAUGGACG